AGAGUUUGAUCCUGGCUCAGGAUGAAUGCUGGCGGCAUGCCUAAUACAUGCAAGUCGAGCGGUAACAGGACUAGCUUGCUAGUUGCUGACGAGCGGCGGACGGCUGAGUAACGCGUGGGAACGGACCCCAAACUGAGGGAUAACGCACCGAAAGGUGUGCUAAUACCGCAUGUGAUCUUCGGAUUAAAGCUUUCGGGCGGUUUGGGAGCGGCCUGUGUACGAUUAGAUAGUUGGUGAGGUAAUGGCUCACCAAGUCGACGAUCGUUAGAUGGUUUGAGAGGAUGAUCAUCCAGACUGGGACUGAGACACGGCCCAGACUCCUACGGGAGGCAGCAGUAGGGAAUCUUUCACAAUGGGCGAAAGCCUGAUGGAGCAAUGCCGCGUGCAGGACGAAGGCCUUCGGGUUGUAAACUGCUUUUAUAAGCGAGGAAUAUGACGGUAACUUAUGAAUAAGGAUCGGCUAACUACGUGCCAGCAGCCGCGGUCAUACGUAGGAUCCGAGCAUUAUCCGGAGUGACUGGGCGUAAAGAGUUGCGUAGGUGGAUGUUUAAGUAGAUAGUGAAAUCUGGUGGCUCAACCAUUCAGACUGUUAUCUAAACUGGGCAUCUCGAGAGCGUCAAGGGUAACUGGAAUUUCUAGUGUAGGAGUGAAAUCCGUAGAUAUUAGAAGGAACACCGAUAGCGUAGGCAGGUUACUGGGGCGUUUCUGACACUAAGGCACGAAAGCGUAGGGAGCAAACGGGAUUAGAUACCCCGGUAGUCUACGCCGUAAACGAUGGAUACUAGCUGUGGGGGGUAUCGACCCCUUCCGUAGCGAAGCUAACGCGUUAAGUAUCCCGCCUGUGUAGUACGAUCGCAAGAUUAAAACAUAAAGGAAUUGACGGGGACCCGCACAAGCGGUGGAGCGUGAUCUUUAAUUCGAU
rnacentral:rRNA from 1 species